rnacentral:rRNA from 1 species
GUCCUUUUGAUUUUUAUAUAAGGUCUGACCUGCCCUAUGAAUAUUUAAAUGGCCGCGGUAUACUAACCGUGCAAAGGUAGCAUAGUCAUUUGUCUCUUAAUUGGAGGCUUGAAUGAAGGGUUGGACGAGAUAUAAGCUUUCUUUGUUAUAUUUUAUUGAAUUUGACUUUUGAGUUAAAAGGCUUAAAUUUUUUUAUAGGACGAGAAGACCCUAUAGAAUUUUAUAUAUUUGUAUAAUUGAUUUAUUUAUUUAUUAUUUAAUUUUUUGUUUAAAUAUAUUUUGUUGGGGCGAUGGGAAGAUUUUAAUAACUCUUUUUUUGUUCUAAUCAUUGAUUUAUGUUUUAUUCUGAUCCUUUUUUAGAGAUUAUAAGAUUAAAUUACCUUAGGGAUAACAGCGUAAUUCUUUUGGAGAGUUCUUAUCGAUAAAAGAGUUUGCGA